rfam:Aedes albopictus isolate Foshan contig132713, whole genome shotgun sequence.
UGUUCUGUAGCUUAGUUGGUUAAAGCGCCGGACUAGCGAUAACGGAGCCGUGGGUUCGAAUCCCACCAAAAAAA